UAUUCUGCCCCAUGGGGAAGGAUGAGAAGCUUCGACUAAGGUUCGACUCGAGCGAAGCGAGAGAACGUUGCCGCAGGCAACGGCCCGAAGGGCGAGGCGCUUUAG
rnacentral:sRNA from 1 species